rnacentral:pre_miRNA from 1 species
GAUUUNAACUGAAAAAGUCAUCAACAACAAAGUUGUAUAACUCAUCAAGAUCUAUAACUUUUAUUUUGAUUAUUUCUUCAUCCGACAAAGUGAUAGUAGUAUUGUUUAUAAAAUUUACAUCUAUAUCAUUUGGUUCUAUAAACUAUAAGAGAGAUAUGUAAACUUUGUGAACAAGACUACUGCUACUUUAUCGGAUGAAGAAAUGACCAAAAUAAAAGUUGUAUGUCUUGAUGAGCUCUACAACUUUUAUGUUCAUGACUUUUUCAGCUGAAAUU